rnacentral:rRNA from 1 species
UGGGGGAUAUUGCACAAUGGGCGAAAGCCUGAUGCAGCGACGCCGCGUGGGGGAUGAAGGCUUUCGGGUUGUAAACCUCUUUCGCUAUCCAACAAGGCCCGCUUAGGGUGGGUUGAGGGUAGGUGGAGAAGAAGCGCCGGCUAACUACGUGCCAGCAGCCGCGGUAAUACGUAGGGCGCGAGCGUUGUCCGGAAUUAUUGGGCGUAAAGGGCUUGUAGGCGGCUUGUUGCGCCUGCUGUGAAAACGCGGGGCUUAACUUCGCGCGUGCAGUGGGUACGGGCAGGCUUGAGUGUGGUAAGGGUGACUGGAAUUCCAGGUGUAGCGGUGGAAUGCGCAGAUAUCUGGAGGAACACCGAUGGCGAAGGCAGGUCACUGGGCCAUUACUGACGCUGAGGAGCGAAAGCAUGGGUAGCGAACAGG